rnacentral:lncRNA from 1 species
GCAAGUUGAAAUUAUCACUAGGCAUCCAUUUUCAAGACUGUAUGAUGAAACCAUCUUGUGGGACACCUGGGCAACUUGACUUCCCUGUGUGACGGAUGUGUUUCUGAGAAGUGUCUGUCCAGUUUGGAGCCACCAUUCCCAGCUCUUCUCACUUUGAGUCUAGGUGGGAGCACGUAACUACUUUUCCUCUGUGGAAUGCAAUGGAG